rnacentral:lncRNA from 1 species
CUUUGAAGCAGCCACAGAGGUUAUCCUAAUUGCAAGGUCUGCCCUCAGUGUUCUACCUGGCUGAGAUGCUCCAAUGACGCCCGAGAUGAGAGCAGCCUGGCGUAGCUGCUACAACUGGGGGAUUCUCGGUUCUUUCUGGACACCGGUGUCUCAAGUUCCAAGGCCAGCUCUUCUGAGGCGAAGGUGGACCCCUCUCUGA